UUUUCUAAUUAAGCUGAAAAAAUUAGCAAAUAAUUUUGAAAAAGCUCUUUCGUAUUGUUUUGCAUUUUAAAGCUGAGACUUUAACAAUCUAUAAGUAAGCUGCAAACUCUAGCUAGCAAGUCAGUACCAGUCUCAAGAGUCCUUUCUUCUUCUUAUAUUUCUUCAAAGUAUAUAACUGAUUUUCUACUUGCGUUUUUUCUAGAGUUUGCUGUAGUAGCAUUUGCAAAAUUUUUUCUUUUCUGAAAUGAAGGUUUAGAAGUGUGAAUUAUUUGAAAUUUUCUGUUUUAUUUUCCUUCUUGGAUAUUCACUUGUUCUCUUGUUUUUGAGCUGACCUGAAACGCUUACUUUAAUUUAAUUUAAUUUUCUUCUUCAAUGAGCUUAUAAUUGCAGGUUAAAGAUAAUGAUUGAUAGUAUUACAUUGAAGUACUUCACUGCAUUCAUUAGAAGAAAUAAUAAUUUUGUUCUGACGACGAAAUUUCAGUUCAGUACAAGGACUGAUCCCUCAAGCUAAUUAAUCUUCUCCAGCAAGGGCCACAGAUCCGUCAAUUUUGGAUGCUUGUAAACAAAAGAUCUGCGAGUAACCAAUUGGUGAAAAAAGCGCAAACAGGAACAGAAGAAGCAAGCAAAGGAAAGAAGAGGGACAAAAAAAGGAGAAAAAUAAAAUCUUUUAAGAGCUUGACACCUGUAACUAUACCCAACAUUGUUUCAGUGGCUGAGGCUGCCAUUGCAGGCUUUGCUUUUUGAGAGUCUUCUGUGCAAACUGCAAAAAGCUUAACCGAGAGAGAAGCUGAGAAGGGUUUUCUCUUUCUAUCUCUCUCUCCUGACUUGGACCGUGAUAUAUCGAAUCGUGAAAAAAGGUCUUUUUAUCACUACAAAGCCAAAGUACUCUUCUGAAUUAUCGUCAUCAAUGCAUAGGACACAGCAACCCCACCUACUGCACUUCUUCUAGCUUCUUCAUUUCUCUCUCUUUCUAUAGAAACCACAACCAUUUUUCAGCUUUAUUCUCGUUAUACUAAGUACGAAAACAUAAGAAAGAGAGCUAGAUAGGAACAAGAAGUAAGCAAAAAGGAAAGGGGAGAAGUGGAGGAGGGUCUUGGCUUUUGAGUUCUCGUUUUGACAAAGGAAUGAAAGUGCUAUGGAGGUGGAGGAGAUUCAGACACAACCCUGUAAAUUCUCUAGAGUUGGUAAUGGCAGAAGUGACACCAGCAGAAUAGCCAAAAAAGGAAGUGGUGACCACCAAUACCCAGAUGACGAAGAAGAUGGAGAGCUCAAAAGGUCUAAUCUUGGCAGUGGAAGUGGAGGUGGUGCCGGUGGUGCAGGAGGCGACUCCGGCAGUGCCAAUCGGUUUCGAGGUUGGCACCCCUCUUCACGCAUAAUUAGGGUUUCUAGAGCAUCCGGUGGAAAAGAUCGGCAUAGCAAGGUGUGGACUUCGAAGGGGUUAAGGGACCGGCGGGUCCGGUUAUCAGUAACCACGGCGAUACAAUUUUACGAUCUCCAAGAUCGGUUGGGUUAUGAUCAGCCAAGUAAAGCGGUAGAAUGGCUGAUUAAAGCAGCUGCAGAUGCAAUAAAUGAGCUCCCUUCGCUUAAUGGUUCUUUCCCUGACACUCCAAAGCAAUUAAGUGAUGAGAAAAGAAACAGUGACGGUACUGAACAGGGAUUUGAUUCAGCUGAUGUAGAGCUUGAAGAUCCAAAAUUUAACCAGAACCAGAGCCAGCAUCUUUCAUUGUCUAAAUCUGCUUGUAGUAGCACUUCAGACACAAGCAAAGGUUCUGGUUUAUCUCUAUCCAGGUCUGAUAUUCGCCGUGUUAAGGCUAGGGAUAGAGCAAGGGAGAGAGCCAAGGAGAAAGAGAAUGAAUCACGCGUUGCACAUCACCAGAAUAUGAACCCAAUUUCUCAAAAUUCUACAUUUACUGAGCUUUUAACUGCGGGGAUUAGUAGCGUGAGCAAUAACAACCAUCACACUGCUGCUACUACUAGUCCUUCUGGUUCUGAGGCCAACUUGUUUCACAAGUCAAGGCAUUGGCCCUUGACCCCAAUGGAUUACUUUGGUACAGGGUUCUUAGGGCCGUCCUUGUCACGGACAGCUCACAAUUCAUCAGGGUUUUCAGGGCAAAUCCAGUUAGGGAAUUCAAUCCCUCAAGCAAUGACAAUGUCAAUCCCGCCAUUUAAUUUCUCAGGGGAGAAUCACCAGGAGCAAUUGCAGCAUUUUCCUUUCGUUUCCGAUCAUUUGAUCCCAGUGGCCACAACACAACCGGGUCCCGGUGGGGACUAUAACCUUAACUUCACUAUUUCUUCAGGCCUUGCUGGUUUCAAUAGGGGGACCCUUCAGUCCAAUUCAUCAUCACCGUCGCUUUUGCCUCACCUCCAGAGGUUUUCUUCUUCUCCUAUAGACGGCUCAACAAACGUACCUUUCUUCAUUGGUGCUGCUGGACCACCGCCACCACCUAUGGAGAAUCAUCAACACCAUCAGUUCCAACCUGGGUUGCAGCUCUGCUAUGGCGAUGGAAGCAGGCAUUCUGACCAGAAAGGCAAAGGAAAGAACUGAUCAUUGCCUUGAAGUGCUCAUUCCUCUUGGUCCAUCUUCUUCCGGGUCAAGUUUUCCAAUUUAAUGGUAAAUUUCUCAUCUGGAAAGAGCUAGUGUGGGAUAGUGUGUGGAGUCAUUCAACCACCUUUUUGUCAAUCGUGUGCCAAUUUUUGCUGCAGUCAAAAGAAAGAUGAGGAUGAUAUUCUGCUGACUAGAGGAAAUUUUAAGUGAACAAGGAGAAAGAGCAGGCAAAGCCAUGAGCAAAUGCAUAUGCCUUCCUAGCUAUGAUUGGGAUGGUAAUAACAUAAAAGUAUUAAGGUUCUGAAAGUGUUGGUGUUAAGAUUUAUCCAUUUUGGAAUCGUUCAGUUCAGCUAAUUGCAUUUCUCAUGUCAGGAGUGCAAUUUUAAUGUAUGCGUGGAUGUGUGUUUUUUGAUGAAAUAUGUCAACAAUUCGAUUGGAAGUUACUCUUUUUCCCAUUGUGUAUGAUUUAUUAUUCUGAAAUUGUCUAUACCAUUUAUUUGUCUCUUCAAUUCAUUUUACCAUUCUCUUA